GGGCCCGCACAAGCGGUGGAGCAUGUGGUUUAAUUCGAUGAUACGCGAGGAACCUUACCAGGGCUUAAAUGUAGGAUGCAUUAGGUAGAGAUACUUAUUUCUUCGGACUUCUUACAAGGUGCUGCAUGGUUGUCGUCAGCUCGUGCCGUGAGGUGUCAGGUUAAGUCCUAUAACGAGCGCAACCCUUGUCGUUAGUUGCCAUCAAGUAAAGUUGGGGACUCUAACGAGACUGCCGGUGCAAACCGAGAGGAAGGUGGGGAUGACGUCAAAUCAUCACGGCCCUUACGUCCUGGGCUACACACGUGCUACAAUGGUAUGGACAGAGAGCAGCCACUAUGCGAAUAGGAGCGAAUCUUCAAAGCCGAUCACAGUUCGGAUCGGAGUCUGCAACUCGACUCCGUGAAGCUGGAAUC
rnacentral:rRNA from 1 species